rnacentral:rRNA from 1 species
GUGCCAGCAGCCGCGGUAAUACGAACCGUACGAACGUUAUUCGGAAUCACUGGGCUUAAAGAGCGCGUAGGCGGCUUGGCAAGUUGGGUGUGAAAGCCCUCGGCUCAACCGAGGAAUUGCGCCCAAAACUGCUAGGCUUGAGGGAGGCAGAGGUAAGCGGAACUAAUGGUGGAGCGGUGAAAUGCGUUGAUAUCAUUAGGAACACCUGAGGCGAAAGCAGCUUACUGGGUCUCUUCUGACGCUGAGGCACGAAAGCUAGGGGAGCGAACGGGAUUAGAUACCCUCGUAGUCC